AUUUACACAUCUAUCUUAAAAUGUAAAAUAGAGACAUUAAGUAAAUAACAAGUACAAGAAAUGGAAAUACAUAUACAGGAAAAUAAACAAUAAGUAAAUAAUGUAAAUAUAUAAUAUAUGAAUUAUAUAUAUAAUAAUAAGUAAAUACACAAUUUUUAAUAAAAGGGACCUUUUGAGGCUCCAUAGAGCGUCCACAUCAGCAAAAAAAACUUCUCCUGAAAGAUGACACGUGGCAUAAAAUAUAGUUUUACAUUUUAAUAUUACUAAUUUUCGAAAAUUAUAAAUAAUAUGUAAACAUACAGCAUAAAAAAAAUGGAAAAACUACAUUAAACAUAUGUAAGAUUAUCAUUUUUCGCUUGAAAAAAAGAC
rnacentral:lncRNA from 1 species